CUGAUCCAGCCAUGCCGCGUGCAGGAUGACGGUCCUAUGGAUUGUAAACUGCUUUUAUACGAGAAGAAACACUACUUCGUGAAGUAGCUUGACGGUAUCGUAAGAAUAAGGAUCGGCUAACUCCGUGCCAGCAGCCGCGGUAAU
rnacentral:rRNA from 1 species